GGGUAAUCUGUAUUUAAUCUAGCAUCAACACACUGCUUCACUUUAUCUUCACUAAGUCUUGGCGUUGCCCAAGUAACAAGACUCUGUUGCCCACGUGGCAAUGUAUGAUCAACAGGUUUACGGCCAGUAAGUAGUUCCAGGAGCACAACGCCAAAGCUAUAAACGUCACUCUUUGAACUCAACUGACCAGUCAUUGCAUAUUCUGGUGCAUGAUAACCAAAGGUC
rnacentral:misc_RNA from 1 species